UCCCUCUUAGGGUCACACCUGGAGAGUUUCCAGUACUCUACCCGUCUCAACUACAGGAGGGAGGUAGAGUCAAGCAGAGGCAUACCCAUUCCAUUCCUAGCUUGGGCAGUGGCUAGCAAGUGGAAGGCAACCUGCUACAAGU